ACUCACAUUGGGACUCAUGGACCUGAUGAUUUUUAGCGUCAAGUUUGUGACUCACAUUGGACUCAUGGAACUGAUGAUUUUUAGCUUCAAGUUUGUGACUCACAUUGGGACUCAUGGACCUGAUGAUUUUUAGCUUCAAGUUUGUGACUCACAUUGGGACUCAUGGACCUGAUGAGUUUUAGCUUCUAGAUUGUGGCUCACAAUUUUCUAUUUUCUAGUUAUUUAUUAUGAUUAUUUUGAGAUAAUAAGAUACUUUGUUGAUAUUUAUUUUCUUCAGAAACUAUUAUUAAUUAGAAAAAUAUAAGGAGUAUUGGGUUAAUCCUAAGCUCUAUCCGUUCUGCGAAAAAUGUCCACCCUUUUUGAAUUUUUUUUUGACACUAAUGCUUUGAUUUAGCUAGAAUUAUUAUACAUAAAUAUAAUGAAUGAUAAAAAAUAUAUUUUAUUUCUUCCAGA